rnacentral:misc_RNA from 1 species
GGGGAACUCAUCUUCAUCUUUUAGAUGGUAUGAUGACUUGAGGGUAACCCUAUCAAGCUCCUUACUAAAUACAGAAUUUGACCUCUGAAAUGCUGGUACUGGAGAUACAGGGCUGGACUGUUGAGUAAGAGAAGGAACAGUUCUUUGUUGCCUACUCCUUUCGGAGAUGCUUGUUCCCAAAGGCCCCGUGCCAACAGAACCAAAAUUAACCGUUCUCUCGGUCGGUAAAACCAUACCUGUCAUGCUAUGGUGUCCCCUCCUAUGGGGGGAUGAUAAAGGGUGGACAUUACUUUGAUCAGCAGAAGAUUCAGAUUGCACCUGCUCAUGGUAACUUCUCCCAAGUGUGUGCAUCUCCGAGAAAGUUCCCCGGCCAUUAG